rnacentral:rRNA from 1 species
UACGAAGGGGGCUAGCGUUGUUCGGAAUCACUGGGCGUAAAGCGCACGUAGGCGGAUUGUUAAGUCGGGGGUGAAAUCUGAGGCUCAACCUCAGAACUGCCUUCGAUACUGGCAAUCUCGAGUCCGGAAGAGGUUGGUGGAACAGCUAGUGUAGAGGUGAAAUUCGUAGAUAUUAGCUAGAACACCAGUGGCGAAGGCGGCUCACUGGCCCGAUACUGACGCUGAGGCACGAAAAGCGUGGGGGAGCAAACAGG